UCUGGGAUCUCCAUUAAAUGAGCUGCCUGCUGCCCUACAGCUCCCAGGAGGCAUUGCGGCUCAAGGGGCCGUGGGGCGGCUUUGGGGCGUAGGCAAGGAGCGAGCCUUUGCGCGCAAAGGCCUAGGGGAGCUGUAGUCUGGUUCUCAAUCUUGGUGCUGUGAGUGGGUCUUUUCUUAGGGCCUCUUUAAGGGCAAGUUUAGGAGCCCGGCGGCCUGGAGGUGGGACAGUCACCCGAAACCGAGGGCUUACAUCAGAAUCGAGCUUUGUGGGCGCUCUAGGGUUUGGGCCCUUAGCGAGAUCCCAGACAACAGGUUUUGGACCUGAAGAGCUGCAAAAUUCACGGAGAGAGACUGAUCCCUCCAGCCGGCUGGCUCCACCCCGCCUCAAUUUCUUCCCCGACUGCUGGCGUGCCGUCGGGGGCUCUUGCAGUCGGCAAAGAGGAAACACAGCGACAGAAACCAGUGUACAAGACACGAGAAAGGCAAAGUGGAGAAGCAUGUUGCUGCGCUGGGAGUCAGGACGCCAAGGUUCAAUUCCUAGCCCCAUGGCUGUCUCAUGAUUCACCAUUCACCCUGUGCCCACUUCCCCUCUUUCACAAACAUCGAGAUGCUCUCACACA